rnacentral:siRNA from 1 species
CAAACAUUUUAUUAUGUACCGCAA